AUCAACGCUGGCGGCGCGCCUAACACAUGCAAGUCGAACGAGAAAGUGGAGCAAUCCAUGAGUAAAGUGGCGUACGGGUGAGUAACACGUGGGUAAUCUACCUUUUAGUGAGGAAUAACUUUGGGAAACCGAAGCUAAUACCGCAUAAGCCUGAGAAGGGAAAGCAGCAAUGCGCUGAAAGAGGAGCCCGCGGCCGAUUAGCUAGUUGGUGAGGUAACGGCCCACCAAGGCUGAGAUCGGUAGCCGGCCUGAGAGGGCACACGGCCACACUGGCACUGAAACACGGGCCAGACUCCUACGGGAGGCAGCAGUGGGGAAUCUUGCACAAUGGGGGAAACCCUGAUGCAGCGACGCCGCGUGAGCGAUGAAGCCCUUCGGGGUGUAAAGCUCUUUCGGCAGGGAAGAUUAUGACGGUACCUGCAGAAGCAGCUGCGGCUAACUACGUGCCAGCAGCCGCGGUAAUACGUAGGCAGCGAGCGUUGUUCGGAGUUACUGGGCGUAAAGGGUGUGUAGGCGGCUCUCUAAGUUUGGUGUGAAAUCUCCCGGCUCAACCGGGAGGGUGCGCCGAAUACUGAAGGGCUAGAGUGCGGGAGAGGAAAGUGGAAUUCCUGGUGUAGCGGUGAAAUGCGUAGAUAUCAGGAGGAACACCGGUGGUGUAGACGGCUUUCUGGACCGUAACUGACGCUGAAA
rnacentral:rRNA from 1 species